AAAACACACAUGUCAUUUAUAAACCCUGCAAACAUUUCUUCAACUGCAAAUGGCUGCUAUAUUUGCUUAACGAAAAGACCUUUACAUAUCUAAAGGUAGGGAGAAGAAGAAGAUGAGCUUUUGUUAUCCAGCAGUAAUAGAACGGCUAUGGCGGAAGCCUAAGAGCUUUUCGACUACGAAGCUCUCUGUGCCAAAAUCGAUAGUUGCGAUGGCGUUUUUCACACUGCUUCUCCGAUGACCGACGAUCCCGAGACAAUGUUGGAGCCGGCGGUAAACGGAGCCAAGUUCGUGAUUGAUGCAGCGGCUAAAGCCAAGUUCAAGCCCGUGGUUUUCACGUCAUCAAUUGGUUUAGUUUACAUUAACCCUAACCGUGACCCUCAAGCCAUAGUUGACGAAAACUGCUGGAGUGAUCUUGAUUUCUGCAAAAAUACUAAGAAUUGGUAUUGCUACGGGAAGAUGGUGGUGGAACAAUCGGCGUGGGAGACGGCGAAGGAAAAAGGUGUAGACUUGCUGGUGAAUUAAAUCUAGCGUUUAACUUUCUAGCACAUGACGAUGAGCAGUAUGUGUGGGAGUCUCAGGCCGGUGGGUCUUUCACUGUGACCAGAGACACCUCUGGGGAGGCUCUUGGUAGAGGAACCAAGAUGGUCCUUUACCUCAAGGAAGACCAGUUGGUGACAGGUGAGGAAGCUAUUAAAACAGCCUUAGGGGAAAUGGAUUCAACCAAAGAAUCUUUACUAUUCUGGAAAGACCAUUCAAAAUUUGAUGUUGGAACAUCUUUGUUAACCAAGUUUUUAAUGCAUUCAACAGAUGAAUUUUCCUAUUAAAGUUUUUUUUUGUUUGGAUUUUUAAUUUUCCAAUCAACGAUGGUAUGUUUCAUCUCUCCGUUUUUAGGGUUUCUUUAACUGUAAGCUCAUUAAGUGAUAAUGAAAUCAAUUACUUCAAUAUAUUAAUUUGAAUCUAUAAAAAAGAUGAACUGGAAGAUUCCAGUUGCACAUGUAACUCCAGAAGCUAACAGAAGCUAUGAAGAAGAAGAGGAAGCCCCAUUACACUCUUCAGCAAGGAUAUAUGAGGGGUUAUUGGUUCAUAGAUUUAUAUGGAAUUAGAAAUC